rnacentral:rRNA from 1 species
GCACGGAGUUAGCCGGUGCUUAUUCAUCUGGUACCGUCAACCAUUUUAGAAAAAAUGGAUUUCUUCCCAGAUAAAAGAAGUUUACAAUCCAGAGGACCUUCAUCCUCCACGCGGCAUGGCUGGUUCAGACUUGCGUCCAUUGACCAAUAUUCCUUACUGCUGCCUCCCGUAGGAGUCGGGCCCGUGUCUCAGUGCCCGUGUGACUGGUCGUGCUCUCACACCAGUUACUGAUCGUCGACUUGGUGGGCCGUUACCCCGCCAACUAUCUAAUCAGCCGCACACCCAUCUUCUAGCGCAUUGCUGCUAUAAUAUAAAAGUGAUGCCACUUCUAUAUGUUACGGAGUAUUAAUCCAAGUUUCCCUGGGCUAUUCUCCACUAAAAGGAAGGUUGUGUACGUGUUCCGCACCCGUUUGCCGGUCGCCAUCAGAUGUAUUGCUACACCCAUGCUGCCCCACGACUUGCAUGUAUUAAGCCUGCCGCUAGCGUUCAUC